rnacentral:rRNA from 1 species
GACAGAGGGUGCAAACGUUGCUCGGAAUUACUGGGCGUAAAACGCGUGUAGGUGGAUUGGUGUGUCAGAUGUGAAAUCCCUGGGCUCAACCCAGGAACUGCACCUGAAACUACCAGUCUUGAGUGGUGGAGAGGGAAGUGGAAUUCCUGGUGUAGAGGUGAAAUUCGUAGAUAUCAGGAGGAACACCAGUGGCGAAGGCGGCUUCCUGGACACUAACUGACGCUGAGACGCGAAAGCGUGGGGAGCAAACAGG